UACGUAGGGUGCAAGCGUUGUCCGGAAUUAUUGGGCGUAAAGAGCUCGUAGGCGGUCUGUCGCGUCGGAUGUGAAAACCCAGGGCUCAACCCUGGGCCUGCAUUCGAUACGGGCAGACUAGAGUUCGGUAGGGGGAGACUGGAAUUCCUGGUGUAGCGGUGAAAUGCGCAGAUAUCAGGAGGAACACCGGUGGCGAAGGCGGGUCUCUGGGCCUUACCUGACGCUGAGGAGCGAAAGCGUGGGGAGCGAACAGG
rnacentral:rRNA from 1 species